UUGUAUCUCUGUAUGAAAUAAAAGGU
rnacentral:piRNA from 1 species